UACCUGGAACACGGUGACGAUGGCCCACAGCAGGGAGUCAAAGUUCUUCCUGUCGGGGACCGUGUCUCCGGUGUCUGUUGUCAGGCUGAACUUGCACCCAAAGAGGUGCAUGCCCAGGAUGCUAAGGGCAGGACAGGAUGGCAGGGAGGCGGGCAGCAGGUGAGCAGGUGCAGCGCCACGUGGCCAUCCCUGCCCCCAGGGGUUGCCCUUCCACGCCUUCCCCAUUGGCCCGGUCCCCAGCUUCCUGCUUUACAGGGGCCUCCCUGCCGGUGCCCAUGGCCUAGCCACCUCCAUCCUACAGGUGGGAAGACGGAGACCGGGGUGGGAGGAACCGGGGCCUGUCUC
rnacentral:lncRNA from 1 species